rnacentral:lncRNA from 1 species
GGGAAUUGAUUUAACUUAUUUGUUUCUCUUUCAGGACCUGAUCUGUAACCCAAAGAACACCAUAUAGCAGAUCUGACUUAAAAAAAAAAAGAGAGAGAGAGCACACCAUCGCAGAUCAUGCUUGAGGACCUCUGGAAUCGCACCAAACCAUCGCAGAAUUGAUUCAUGGAUGAGGUAAGUACAUAUAAUCCCCCUUCUCAAAUUCCUGACCUAACCUCUAUUGUGGAAAGCUAUGUCAUAACUCUACAGGAGCGACGACUUCAGCAGUCUCAACCAUGUAGGAUCUGUGGAUAUGUGGGACAUCUAACGUCCCAAUGUCCUACACUUUAUGAGGAUGACCAACCAGUUCAUGCAUAUGGAGGAUUCUAUGAACA